AUGAAAUUGAGAUAUCUAGAAGUGAAUAAAUUAACAAUAAGCUUCAUAAUAAAAUUAAAAAUGAAUUUCUCUUUUACUGUUUACUAGUAUAUAUAGAAAAAGAGAGUGUUAAAAAAUUUACUAUAAAUUCACUAAUACAUGAAUUAUGAUUUAAAAAAGCAAUGCACUCUUCAUAUAUAUAGUGAAGGUAGAUUGCUAUAAAAUGUCUAAUGCUAUGUUAUUUGAUGCUGAGGGUUGGUUAAAAUUUGGUCUGGUUA
rnacentral:misc_RNA from 1 species